AUUGCACGCUGGCGGCAAGCCUAACACAUGCAAGUCGAACGAGUGGCGGACGGGUGAGUAAUGUCUGGGACACUGCCUGAUGGAGGGGGAUAACUACUGGACACGGUAGCUAAUACCGCAUACCAUCGGAUGUGCCCAGAUGGGAUUAGCUAGUAGUGGGGGUAAACGCUCACCUAGGCGACGAGCCCUAGCUGGUCUGACAUGAUGACCAGCCAGACUGGAACGUAGACACGCUCCAGACGCCUACGGUAGGCAGAAGUGGGGAAUAUUGCACAAUGGGCGCAAGCCUGAUGCAGCCAUGCCUCGUGUAUGAAGAAGGCCUUCGGGUUGUAAAGUACUUUCAGCGGGGAGGCGUUACCCGCAGAAGAAGCACCGGCUAACUCCGUGCCAGCAGCCGCGGUAAUAC
rnacentral:rRNA from 1 species